UGGGAUGUGGUCUAAUGGCAAGACACUCGGCUGUUAACCGGGCUGAUGUAGGUUCGAAUCCUACCAUCCCAGCAA
rnacentral:tRNA from 2 species